rnacentral:rRNA from 1 species
GAUGAACGCUGGCGGCGUGCCUAAUACAUGCAAGUCGAGCGAAUGGAUUAAGAGCUUGCUCUUAUGAAGUUGGCGGCGGACGGGUGAGUAACACGUGGGUAACCUGCCCAUAAGACUGGGAUAACUCCGGGAAACCGGGGCUAAUACCGGAUAACAUUUUGAACCGCAUGGUUCGACAUUGAAAGGCGGCUUCGGCUGUCACUUAUGGAUGGACCCGCGUCGCAUUAGCUAGUUGGUGAGGUAACGGCUCACCAAGGCAACGAUGCGUAGCCGACCUGAGAGGGUGAUCGGCCACACUGGGACUGAGACACGGCCCAGACUCCUACGGGAGGCAGCAGUAGGGAAUCUUCCGCAAUGGACGAAAGUCUGACGGAGCAACGCCGCGUGAGUGAUGAAGGCUUUCGGGUCGUAAAACUCUGUUGUUAGGGAAGAACAAGUGCUAGUUGAAUAAGCUGGCACCUUGACGGUACCUAACCAGAAAGCCACGGCUAACUACGUGCCAGCCGCCGCAGUAA